CAAAACCCUAAGCCCGACCGCCACAGUUUCCGUCCCCGUCCUCCGACCCCGUCUCUGCUUGGCCCAGUGGACAGGAUUGGCCAGCCUCAGCGGAGAUAGAGAAAUUUUAACUACCCCAGUGUAUCCAUUGAAAAGGCCGGAGUAAGUGGAAUAUCAGGAUCUGUCUAUAAUGGAAGGUCAACUUAAUGAUGCUGUGGAUUCUAAACCCAGAGUAAAGGCAACACUUCAUCUUGGCUCAGAGACGUUUUCUGUUUGUUCGAAUGCUGGCAUUCUCUCCCAACAGCUGGUUACAAUGAAAGACCAGAGUAUGGCUAUUCUAAAAGACUACAUCACCAAGAAUAAUGCACCGAAUGAUGUUCCUGAUGAAGUCAUUGAAGGCUCUUCUGAUGAAAGUGAAGAAGACGUUGAUAACCCACCCAAGAAAUCCAAAAAGCAAAACUAAAAGCUUCCUUCCGAUAAAAAGGAGCAUGUGGGAUGAUGUAAUUAUCUGAAUUAUGCCUGUGGAUUUUUUUGAUUGGGACAAACUAGAACAUUCUUGUUGUAUGAGAAGUAUUCAAACUCAUUUCAAAGAUAAAGCCAGAUGAUACAAUUCCUUUUAAAUUGAAUACGCAGGUUGGAACAAA